rnacentral:rRNA from 1 species
AUUCCGGUUGAUCCUGCCAGAGGUCACUGCUAUCGGGGUUCGAUUAAGCCAUGCGAGUCGAGAGGGUUCGGCCCUCGGCGUACUGCUCAGUAACACGUGGAUAACCUGCCCUAAGGAAGGGGAUAACCCCGGGAAACUGGGGAUAAUACCCUAUAGGUUACAGGUGCUGGAAUGCUUUGUAACCCAAAGUUCCGACGCCUUAGGAUGGAUCUGCGGCCGAUUAGGUUGUUGUUGGGGUAACGGCCCAACAAGCCAGUAAUCGGUACGGGUUGUGGGAGCAAGAGCCCGGAGUUGGAUUCUGAGACACGAAUCCAGGCCCUACGGGGCGCACAGGCGCGAAAACUUUACAAUGCGGGCAACCGUGAUAAGGGAACCUCGAGUGCCUGUAUAUGCAGGCUGUCCAGGUGUCUAAAAAACACCUGAAGAAAGGGCCGGGCAAGACCGGUGCCAGCCGCCGCGGUAAUACCGGCGGCUCGAGUGGUGGCCACUUUUAUUGGGCUUAAAGCGUUCGUAGCUGGGUUGUUAAGUCUCUUGGGAAAUCUGACGGCUUAACCGUCAGGCGUCUAAGAGAUACUGGCAAUCUUGGAACCGGGAGAGGUGAGGGGUACUUCGGGGGUAGGAGUGAAAUCCUGUAAUCCUCGAGGGACCACCUGUGGCGAAGGCGCCUCACCAGAACGGCUUCGACAGUGAGGGACGAAAGCUGGGGGAGCAAACCGGAUUAGAUACCCGGGUAGUCCCAGCCGUAAACGAUGCGCGUUAGGUGUAUCGGUGACCACGAGUCACCGAGGUGCCGAAGGGAAACCGUGAAACGUGCCGCCUGGGAAGUACGGUCGCAAGGCUGAAACUUAAAGGAAUUGGCGGGGG